rnacentral:lncRNA from 1 species
AUUCAGAAACUGUCAAAGUUAGGUGAUGUUUAAGUUGUUAGAGUUGCCUGGUUAUUCAUGACACCCAGUGACGCUGAGUCUUAGUAAUAAAAACUUCAGAGAAUCCGAAAGAACUCAUCAUUUGCUUUGUUAUUUUGAGUUUACCACUGCAAGGGAUAAUCUGUAAUUGGAUCACAUGAUUAUAAAUGACUUAUUUUUUAGGGGCAUAAUAAGCAAUGCAAAGGACAGGUCUGGUUAUUAGUACCAAAAUAUGUAUUUAUUCCACAUACUGCUUUUUUCAGACCUUUUCUGAUAUCUUGUUUCUGACUAUUAAAUUAUACCCAAAUAGAAUAUGCAACUGCAUGUAUCCAGCUUAUUUCAGUGGGCACUCAGGGCAGCAUAAAUAGAAACAGAAUAAUCAGAAGCAUUUAGAAUUCUGUUCUUAUUCAUCUAACAGGCUUGUCUUUAUUCUAGAAUGCACGUGGUGAUUUUAAUCCUCUUUCCACACUUAAGACUUUCCCUGGGCCUCAGUUUCUGGAAUUCUCUUUCUCCAUGAAAAGAUUUCCAAGACAGAUACCCACCUAUGACUGCUUGUUUCUUGUCCACACACACAAAUCAAAGUUGCUCAAAACGCGGGAAA